CCUCAAGGAGGCUGUAUUGGUUUUCUAAUGCUGUGUAGCAAAUUACCACAACUUGAGCAGCUUAAAAUAACACAUAGCUCUAUUAAGGCUGCUCCAAUGAAUUUCCUUUCCACUUAAAAUAUUUUGGAUUUUCGUUCACUUACAACAUUGACACGAGCAGUUUCAGGGCCCAUCUUGGUGGAAGUGUUAGGUGUCACCUGGGUACCUUAUUUUUGUUAGAAACUCAGGGCAGUCUGAGCUAGAGACAAAGACUUGGGGGACAACAGGAGUUGAAGCCAGUGGAGCGCACACGCACCCAGGAAGGAGGUGCGCCCAGGAAGAAGUACAUGCUGACCGGAGGCAAAAGUGACAGAACGAACCUGAGGAGCAGCACGACUUGUGAGCUGGGAGUUGCAAGUACAGUCUGAAGAACUGUUUUUUCAGAUUCAUUUGAGAAGAAGUUGCCGACAUGGUACUUCAUCACCUUCACAUUCUGUAUUAUUUUCUACAAAAAGAAUAUUCUCUCAUAUAACUACAACAUAACCUCCAAAACAGAAGAACUCAGAUUCUAUCAUUGUGAUCCCCUUUAGACUGACUUCUGUGACAUUUUUUGGACACAUCUCCAGCAUCCUUUGAACAUUUCCUUUCUUUUUUGAGAAACAGAAUGUUCUAGGCUCAACUUAUAGUUUCCCUGUCCCAGUUAUGUACUAUGAACUGAACUGUGUCCCCAAAAUUCAUAUGUUGAAGCCUCAACCAUGAAAGUGACUAUAUUUGGACAUAGGGUCUAUGAGGAAGUAAUUAAGGGUAAAUGAGAUCGUCAAGUGAAAGAGAGUGAAAAAGCUGGCUUAGAGCUCAACAUCCAGAAGACAAAGAUCACGGCAUCUGGUCCCAUCACUUCAUGGCAAAUAGAUGGGGAAACAGUGGAAACAGUGAGAGACUUUAUUUUUGGGGGCUCCAAAAUCACUGCAGAUGGUGACUGCAGCCAUGAA
ensembl:lncRNA